GGUUAAGUGACUAAGCGUACAUGGUGGAUGCCUUGGCAGUCAGAGGCGAUGAAGGACGUACUAACCUGCGAUAAGCUGUGAGAAGUCGGUAAGAGACGCUAUUACUCACAGAUUUCCGAAUGGGGAAACCCACCCGAGAUAACUCGGGUAUCUGUUACUGAAUACAUAGGUAACAGAGGCGAACCGGGAGAACUGAAACAUCUAAGUACCCCGAGGAAAAGAAAUCAACCGAGAUUCCCUCAGUAGCGGCGAGCGAACGGGGAUUAGCCCUUAAGCAUCUUGGAAGUUAGUGGAACGGUCCUGGAAAGGCCGGCGAUACAGGGUGAUAGCCCCGUACACGAAAACAACCUUGAUGUGAAAUCGAGUAGGGCGGGACACGUGACAUCCUGUCUGAAUAUGGGGGACCAUCCUCCAAGGCUAAAUACUCCUGACUGACCGAUAGUGAACCAGUACCGUGAGGGAAAGGCGAAAAGAACCCCUGUGAGGGGAGUGAAAUAGAACCUGAAACCGUGUACGUACAAGCAGUGGGAGCCCUUCGGGGUGACUGCGUACCUUUUGUAUAAUGGGUCAGCGACUUACAUUUUGUAGCGAGGUUAACCGUAUAGGGGAGCCGUAGGGAAACCGAGUCUUAACUGGGCGUCUAGUUGCAAGGUGUAGACCCGAAACCGGGUGAUCUAGCCAUGGGCAGGUUGAAGGUUGAGUAACAUCAACUGGAGGACCGAACCCACUAACGUUGCAAAGUUAGGGGAUGACCUGUGGCUGGGGGUGAAAGGCCAAUCAAACUCGGAGAUAGCUGGUUCUCCCCGAAAGCUAUUUAGGUAGCGCCUCGGACGAAUACUACUGGGGGUAGAGCACUGUUUGGGCUAGGGGGUCAUCCCGACUUACCAACCCCAUGCAAACUCCGAAUACCAGUAAGUAAUAUCCGGGAGACACACGGCGGGUGCUAACGUCCGUCGUGAAGAGGGAAACAACCCAGACCGCCGGCUAAGGUCCCAAAGUUCUGGUUAAGUGGGAAACGAUGUGGGAAGGCUCAGACAGCUAGGAUGUUGGCUUAGAAGCAGCCAUCAUUUAAAGAAAGCGUAAUAGCUCACUAGUCGAGUCGGCCUGCGCGGAAGAUGUAACGGGGCUCAAACCAGGCACCGAAGCCGCGGAUUCACACUUAUGUGUGAGUGGUAGGGGAGCGUUCUGUAAGUCUGCGAAGGUGUAUCGAGAGGUAUGCUGGAGAUAUCAGAAGUGCGAAUGCUGACGUAAGUAACGAUAAAGGGGGUGAAAAGCCUCCUCGCCGGAAGACCAAGGGUUCCUGUCCAACGUUAAUCGGGGCAGGGUGAGUCGACCCCUAAGGCGAGGCCGAAAGGCGUAGUCGAUGGGAAGCAGGUUAAUAUUCCUGCACGACUUGUAAUUGCGAUGGGGGGACGGAGAAGGCUAGGUGGGCCAGGCGACGGUUGUCCUGGUGAAAGUGCGUAGGUGGUGUUUCUAGGCAAAUCCGGAGACACAACACUGAGACACGAGACGAACACACUACGGUGUGGAAGCCAUUGAUGCCCUGCUUCCAGGAAAAGCCUCUAAGCUUCAGAUUACAAGUCAUCGUACCCCAAACCGACACAGGUGGUCGGGUAGAGAAUACCAAGGCGCUUGAGAGAACUCGGGUGAAGGAACUAGGCAAAAUAGAACCGUAACUUCGGGAGAAGGUUCGCUCUUGAUGGUGAAGUCCCUUGCGGAUGGAGCUGUCGGGAGUCGCAGUGACCAGAUGGCUGGGACUGUUUAUCAAAAACACAGCACUCUGCAAACACGAAAGUGGACGUAUAGGGUGUGACACCUGCCCGGUGCCGGAAGGUUAAUUGAUGGGGUUAGCGCAAGCGAAGCUCUUGAUCGAAGCCCCGGUAAACGGCGGCCGUAACUAUAACGGUCCUAAGGUAGCGAAAUUCCUUGUCGGGUAAGUUCCGACCUGCACGAAUGGUGUAACCAUGGCCAUGCUGUCUCCACCCGAGACUCAGUGAAAUCGAAUUCGCCGUGAAGAUGCGGUGUACCCGCGGCUAGACGGAAAGACCCCGUGAACCUUUACUACAGCUUGGCACUGAACAUUGAACCUACAUGUGUAGGAUAGGUGGGAGGCUUUGAAGGCGUGACGCCAGUUGCGCUGGAGCCGUCCUUGAAAUACCACCCUUGUAUGUUUGAUGUUCUAACGCAGGGCCCUGAAUCGGGCUCGCGGACAGUGCCUGGUGGGUAGUUUGACUGGGGCGGUCUCCUCCCAAAGAGUAACGGAGGAGCACGAAGGUUGGCUAAUCCUGGUCGGACAUCAGGAGGUUAGUGCAAUGGCAUAAGCCAGCUUAACUGCGAGACGGACAGGUCGAGCAGGUACGAAAGUAGGUCAUAGUGAUCCGGUGGUUCUGAAUGGAAGGGCCAUCGCUCAACGGAUAAAAGGUACUCCGGGGAUAACAGGCUGAUACCGCCCAAGAGUUCAUAUCGACGGCGGUGUUUGGCACCUCGAUGUCGGCUCAUCACAUCCUGGGGCUGAAGUCGGUCCCAAGGGUAUGGCUGUUCGCCAUUUAAAGUGGUACGCGAGCUGGGUUCAGAACGUCGUGAGACAGUUCGGUCCCUAUCUGCCGUGGGCGUUGGAUGAUUGAAGGGAGUUGCUCCUAGUACGAGAGGACCGGAGUGAACGAACCUCUGGUGUUCGGGUUGUCACGCCAGUGGCACUGCCCGGUAGCUAAGUUCGGAAUCGAUAACCGCUGAAAGCAUCUAAGCGGGAAGCGAGCCCUGAGAUGAGUCAUCCCUGACCCCUUGAGGGUCCUAAAGGGCCGUUGGAGACCACAACGUUGAUAGGUGGGGUGUGUAAGCGCGGUGACGUGUUGAGCUAACCCAUACUAAUUACCCGUGAGGCUUAACCAU
rnacentral:rRNA from 1 species